UUCUCUCUGACCAGCACCAUGCUUCUCCUGGUGACAAGCCUUCUGCUCUGUGAGUUACCACACCCAGCAUUCCUCCUGAUCCCAGAGAAAUCGGAUCUGCGAACAGUGGCACCAGCCUCUAGUCUCAAUGUGAGGUUUGACUCCAGGACGAUGAAUUUAAGCUGGGACUGCCAAGAAAACACAACCUUCAGCAAGUGUUUCUUAACUGACAAGAAGAACAGAGUCGUGGAACCCAGGAUGGAGUUUCCCUCUUGUUGCCCAGGCUGGAGUACACUGGUGUGAUCUUGGCUCACUGCAACCUCCACCUCCUGGGUUCAAGCGAUUCUCCUAUCUCAGCCUCCUGAGUAGCUGGGAUUACAGCUCAGUAACAACGAAUGUUCGUGCACAUUUCGUGAAAUUUGUCUGCAUGAAGGAGUCACAUUUGAGGUUCACGUGAAUACUAGUCAAAGAGGAUUUCAACAGAAACUGCUUUAUCCAAAUUCAGGAAGGGAGGGUACCGCUGCUCAGAAUUUCUCCUGUUUCAUCUACAAUGCGGAUUUAAUGAACUGUACCUGGGCGAGGGGUCCGACGGCCCCCCGUGACGUCCAGUAUUUUUUGUACAUACGAAACUCAAAGUAAGUGUUCACCUCAUGUGAAGAAUUAUGAGGAAUGCAGGGAUGGGAGAAAAAAUCAUGCUGGUUUUCUUUUUUUCCUUUUUCUUUUUUUAAGACAUGGUCUUGCUCUGUUGCCCAGGCUGCAAUGCAAUGGUGCCACCUCGGCUCACUGCAACCUCGACCUCCUGGGUUCAAGCAAUUUUCCUGCCUCAGCUUCCCAGGUAGCUGGGAUUACAGG
rnacentral:lncRNA from 10 species